rnacentral:tRNA from 1 species
ACCGCGAUAGCUCAGUUGGUAGAGCAUCUGCCUGGUAUGCUGGGGGUUGCCGGUUCGAUUCCGGCUCACGGAG